UACGUAGGGAGCGAGCGUUGUCCGGAUUUAUUGGGCGUAAAGAGCUCGUAGGCGGUUUGGUAAGUCGGGUGUGAAAGCUCCGGGCUCAACUCGGAGAGGUCACUCGAUACUGCCAUGACUGGAGUCCGGUAGGGGGGUGUGGAAUUCCCAGUGUAGCGGUGAAAUGCGCAGAUAUCAGGAGGAACACCGGUGGCGAAGGCGGUUCUCUGGGCAUUACCUGACGCUGAGGAGCGAAAGUGUGGGGAGCGAACAGG
rnacentral:rRNA from 1 species